UCAAGUAAUUAAGUGCAUGUGGUGGAUGCCUUGGCAGUCAGAGGCGAUGAAAGACGUGAUAGCCUGCGAAAAGCUCCGGGGAGGCGGCAAAUAUCCUUUGAUCCGGAGAUGUCUGAAUGGGGGAACCCACCUACUUUAAGGUAGGUAUUGCAACAUGAAUACAUAGUGUUGCAAGGCGAACGAGGGGAAGUGAAACAUCUCAGUACCCUUAGGAAAAGAAAUCAAUUGAGAUUCCCUCAGUAGCGGCGAGCGAACGGGGAUCAGCCCAUUAAGUUAUGUGUGUUUUAGUGGAACGCUCUGGGAAGUGCGAACGUAGAGGGUGAUAUUCCCGUACACGAAAGGGCACACAUAAUGAUGACGAGUAGGGCGAGGCACGUGAAACCUUGUCUGAAUAUGGGGGGACCAUCCUCCAAGGCUAAAUACUCCUGACUGACCGAUAGUGAACCAGUACCGUGAGGGAAAGGCGAAAAGAACCCCUGUGAGGGGAGUGAAAUAGAUCCUGAAACCGCAUGCAUACAAGCAGUGGGAGCACCUUCGUGGUGUGACUGCGUACCUUUUGUAUAAUGGGUCAGCGACUUAUAUUCAGUAGCGAGGUUAACCGUAUAGGGGAGCCGUAGAGAAAUCGAGUCUUAAUAGGGCGUUUAGUUGCUGGGUAUAGACCCGAAACCAGGCGAUCUAUCCAUGAGCAGGUUGAAGGUUGGGUAACACUAACUGGAGGACCGAACCCACUGUCGUUGAAAAGCCAGGGGAUGACUUGUGGAUAGGGGUGAAAGGCUAAUCAAGCCUGGUGAUAGCUGGUUCUCCCCGAAAGCUAUUUAGGUAGCGCCUCGGACGAAUACCAUAGGGGGUAGAGCACUGUUUCGGCUAGGGGGUCAUCCCGACUUACCAAACCGAUGCAAACUCCGAAUACCUAUGAGUACUAUCCGGGAGACAGACUGCGGGUGCUAACGUCCGUAGUCAAGAGGAAAACAAUCCAGACCGCCAGCUAAGGCCCCAAAAUCAUAGUUAAGUGGGAAACGAUGUGGGAAGGCAUAGACAGCUAGGAGGUUGGCUUAGAAGCAGCCACCCUUUAAAGAAAGCGUAAUAGCUCACUAGUCGAGUCGGCCUGCGCGGAAGAUGUAACGGGGCUAAAACUAUGUGCCGAAGCUGCGGAUGUAUACUUUGUAUACGUGGUAGGGGAGCGUUCUGUAAGCCGAUGAAGGUGUGUUGAGAAGCAUGCUGGAGGUAUCAGAAGUGCGAAUGCUGACGUGAGUAACGACAAAACGGGUGAAAAACCCGUUCGCCGAAAGACCAAGGGUUCCAGUCCAACGUUAAUCGGGGCUGGGUGAGUCGACCCCUAAGGCGAGGCCGAAAGGCGUAGUCGAUGGGAAAAUGGUUAAUAUUCCAUUACUUCUGUGUAAUGCGAUGAGAGGACGGAGAAGGCUAAAUCAGCCUGGCGUUGGUUGUCCAGGUGAAAGGAUGUAGGCAUGUAUCUUAGGCAAAUCCGGGGUACUCUAUGCUGAGAUCUGAUAGCAAGCUGUACUUGUACAGCGAAGUGGUUGAUGCCAUGCUUCCAGGAAAAGUCUCUAAGCUUCAGUUACACAGGAAUCGUACCCGAAACCGACACAGGUGGUCAGGUCGAGUAGACCAAGGCGCUUGAGAGAACUCUGCUGAAGGAACUAGGCAAAAUGGUACCGUAACUUCGGGAGAAGGUACGCUGUUGUUGGUGAUGGAACUCGCUUCCUGAGCUGACGACAGCCGCAGAAACCAGGCCGCUGCAACUGUUUAUUAAAAACAUAGCACUCUGCAAACACGAAAGUGGACGUAUAGGGUGUGAUGCCUGCCCGGUGCUGGAAGGUUAAUUGAUGGGGUUAGCGUAAGCGAAGCUCUUGAUCGAAGCCCCAGUAAACGGCGGCCGUAACUAUAACGGUCCUAAGGUAGCGAAAUUCCUUGUCGGGUAAGUUCCGACCUGCACGAAUGGCAUAAUGAUGGCGGCGCUGUCUCCAGCAGAGGCUCAGUGAAAUCGAAAUCGCUGUGAAGAUGCAGUGUACCCGCGGCUAGACGGAAAGACCCCGUGAACCUUUACUGCAGCUUGACACUGAACUUUGACCUUACUUGUGUAGGAUAGGUGGGAGGCUUUGAAGCUGGAACGCUAGUUCCAGUGGAGCCGUCCUUGAAAUACCACCCUGGUAAUGUUGAGGUUCUAACUCUGUCCCGUGAUCCGGGACGAGGACCGUGUCUGGUGGGUAGUUUGACUGGGGCGGUCUCCUCCUAAAGAGUAACGGAG
rnacentral:rRNA from 1 species